AGGAAGACGUGAUCCAGGCAACAGGAUAUUCCAGUAUAGACACUCCAGGAAAAACAAAAUCUUUUAAUCAGCAAAAUCCAUCAUAUUACUUAAGUCACAGAUGCUCACCAAGGAGAAGAGGUCAUUCUGUAAUCCAAGUCGAUCCACAGGGGGCAGAGAAAGGUCACGAAUGCCUGGUAAUAAACUUUCCAGCAUGGCAGAGCUGUACUGGGUCCGAUAAAACCCAACUGUUCCUAAGUUCAACUGCAAAGAUAUCCAGUAAGUACUAUUAAACAGCUCCCUUAAUUUUUUAAA
rnacentral:antisense_RNA from 1 species